rnacentral:rRNA from 1 species
AUGAACGCUAGCGGGAGGCCUAACACAUGCAAGCCGAGCGGUAUAAUUCUUUCGGGAAUUAGAGAGCGGCGCACGGGUGCGGAACACGUGUGCAACCUGCCUUUAUCUGGGGGAUAGCCUUCCGAAAGGGAGAUUAAUACCCCAUAAUAUAUUGACUGGCAUCAGUUAAUAUUGAAAACUCCGGUGGAUAGAGAUGGGCACGCGCAAGAUGAGAUAGUUGGUGAGGUAACGGCUCACCAAGUCAGUGAUCUUUAGGGGGCCUGAGAGGGUGAUCCCCCACACUGCUACUGGGACACGGACCAGACUCCUACGGGAGGCAGCAGUGAGGAAUAUUGGACAAUGGGUGAGAGCCUGAUCCAGCCACCCCGCGUGAAGGACGACGGCCCUAUGGGUUGUAAACUUCUUUUGUACAGGGAUAAACCUAGAUACGUGUAUCUAGCUGAAGGUACUGUACGAAUAAGCACCGGCUAACUCCGUGCCAGCAGCCGCAGUAAAAC